CCUCAAAAAUACGAUUCAAGCUUAGGGUUUAGGUCAUCCUCUUCGAAGAGACACUCAUCCCUUACUCAAAACGAUUCAGGCUCAUCCUCUUCUAAGAGACACUCUCUAUCUAUCACUCAGGCUUUAAUCUCAGUCUAUCAAUCUCCAGACUUCUUUCUAUCACACACUCCUUCCGUUCCAAUUUCUGUCCAGUUUGAUCAAUGGCAGAAGCAACUGGGUCUGCCAACAAGCCAAGAAAUGAAAGAGAUUCAUAGCUGAGSUGAAUUUUUCUACUAUUUGUUGUGUGAUUGAAGAAAUAAAUUUGUUGAGGAAAGCCAUGUGGCCUUGAACAUGCUUUGUAGGUUUCAAGAAAAUAUGGAUACAUAUCAUAACUUAAUUACACAGUUCAUGCAUGAUAAACAAUUGGAUAGUGGAAAAGGAAUUCUUCUUCAUUUGUGUGAUGAUGUGAUUCAACAAGAAAUGUUCCAUUUGAAAAACAUCAACCAACGCAAACAGUGAGCCAUCUUAGAUUUUCAAAAUCCAUUUCCCAUUUUUAUGUGACUGCAAAAGUCACGGGCCUCGAUACUGUGUUGUAAGUCGAUUCUGCUGUGAAUGUGAAAUGUUGGUGGUUGUUGUUGCUGGACAUUAUAUUGAUGGUGUCUUUGAACAUGGGGGGUCAUCGGAGCAUAAAAAAGGUGUGUUUUAGAUGUUUCUUCUUUUGUAUGGUCAUGAUUGCAAUUUGAACUAAUCUUCAAUAAAUCUUCUUGUGUUUGAUUUUUUGAUGAUACCCUUUAUCCUCUGWGCUCUGGAUUGUCAACAGAAUGCACCAAGAAUAUCACAGUUCCCCUUAUGGUUUGAUGUCAAAACUGCUUCAAAGAAAUCCAGGAUGAUGCACUUCAUGAUCAACAUCAUCCCUCCAAAUCCAGGAAGAGCAUAAGUAGGCACUUGUUGGGUAAGAGUCGUUACUCUCACUUACCGGGGAGCAUCAGACUCAUGGAAUAUGYCGAUGUCUUUUAUUAGUGUAAUCCUACUUCCUAUUGUUGGUAAUGCUGCUGAGCAUGCCAGUGCCAUAAUGUUUGCCAUGAAAGACAAGCUUGACAUCACUUGGAGUAGCAAUUGGAUCAUCAACUCAGAUAUCAAUGUUUGUGAUCCCAUUCUGUGUGGUUGUGGGUUGGAUCAUGGGCCAGCAAAUGGACUUAAAUUUUCAGCUUUUUGAGACUGCUACUCUCUUUAUCACAGUGUUAGUCGUAGCAUUUAUGCUGCAGGAAGGAACAUCAAAUUACUUCAAAGGGGUGAUGCUAAUUCUGUGCUAUCUCAUUGUUGCUGCAAGUUUCUUUGUACACGUGGAUAAUAAAUCAGAUGAUGACUAAAAGUGAAGAGGCAAGCAGAAAUGGAAGUGUAUUGUUUAAAUGUUGUAAUUUUGUGAGGCAAGUUCAUAUGUUGAUCCAAAGAGAGAGCAUCAACAUCAGUCAUCAGCAUUGUCAUGAUCAGAAGGUAGUUUUGGGUAGAAAAAUCAUUUGAUUUUGGUUGAAUGAUUGAUUGAUGUUGGCAUGACAUGGCAAUCAAAUAAAGCAUGUGCCUGCCUUGCCUUAAAGGAAGUUCAUUCUUGUUCAAGUGCAUUCGUUCAGGAAGUUCAGGAGGCGGCUUCCGRUUUGAAGAUUUGGUAUCCCUCUUUCUGGGUUUGAAGAACAUCAGAAGAACCGCACCACCGUCCAGAGAUGAUCGAAACGGAUUCGGUUUCUUGGUUCGUUGUAAUCAAUCGAUGACCGUGAACGAAUCGUCUUUGCUUGAUCCUGAUUUCUCUCURCUGCUGGAUUUUUUGGCGAUUCUACUAAUCCUAACUCCUGGUCCGGAGAUUUUUUUAUUCAUCUCUCAUUCAAUUGCUCUAGAACUUUCGGUCUCACUCCCRAUCUCUUGAUUCUU